GACAUAGGUGGCAAACGUUAUCCGGAAUUAUUGGGCGUAAAGGGUGCGUAGAUGGUAUAAUCAGUUAUUAGUGGAAAAUCAAAGCUUAACUUUGUGGAAGUUAAUAAUACUAUUAUACUUGAGUGCAGGAGAAGUUAAUAGAAUUCCAUGUGGAGCGGUAAAAUUGUGUUGAUAUAUGGAAGAAUAUCAAUAAAGGCGAAGGCAGUUAACUAUUCUGUUGCUGACAUUGAGGCACGAAAGCGUGGGGAGCAAAACGG
rnacentral:rRNA from 1 species